CCGCCCGUAGCUCAGUGGUAGAGCAGACGCCUUUUAAGCGUAAGGUCGUUGGAUCGUUCCCAACCGGGCGGA
rnacentral:tRNA from 1 species